rnacentral:rRNA from 1 species
UACGUAGGGCGCAAGCGUUGUCCGGAAUUAUUGGGCGUAAAGAGCUCGUAGGUGGUUUGUCGCGUCUGUCGUGAAAGCCCGGGGCUUAACUCCGGGUCUGCGGUGGAUACGGGCAGACUAGAGGCAGGUAGGGGAGAACGGAAUUCCCGGUGUAGCGGUGAAAUGCGCAGAUAUCGGGAGGAACACCGGUGGCGAAGGCGGUUCUCUGGGAAUAUCCUGACGCUGAGGAGCGAAAGUGUGGGGGAGCGAACAGG